UACGUAGGGUGCUAGCGUUGUCCGGAUUUAUUGGGCGUAAAGGGUGCGUAGGCGGUCGGGUAAGUCUGGCGUGAAAUCUCCAAGCCUAACUUGGAAACUGCGUUGGAUACUAUCCGGCUCGAGGAAUGGAGGGGAGACUGGAAUACUUGGUGUAGCAGUGAAAUGCGUAGAUAUCAAGUGGAACACCAGUGGCGAAGGCGAGUCUCUGGACAUUUCAUGACGCUGAGGCACGAAAGCCAGGGGAGCAAACGGG
rnacentral:rRNA from 1 species